UCUCUUUAACAAAUAACACCUUUGAGAGAAAGGCACGUCUGAUGUUUAGCUCAAUCCAUCAGACUUGCUUGUUCUUAUAUUGUAUGACUUGCAAAAUCCAAAGCCCCUCACUGCCCCACCCCCCAACUCCACCAGAGUCAUGGGGCUCUUGCCCUCUUAGCUCCCAACACUCUCACUCUUGUUCUCAGGGUCUUUGUCCCUCCUCUACCUCUAUAUCUUCACCACCCAUCUCACUUAUCAAAUUCCACGCCUCCCAAUCUGCUUCUUGUUCCUCUUCACCAAUAACACCAAGAAUUCAGGGACAGAACUAGAAUUUUACUUUUAAUUGAUUGAAGUUUGAUGGGAUCGAACAAGGAAGAGAAAGAUGCAAGUUACUUUGAACAUGAAAGAGUUGUGAACACUAGGAAAGCUUGCUUUUGGUCAAUUUUGGUGAGCGUGGCAGGGGGGCUCAUGUUAGGAUGGUGGGAAUAUCAAUAUCAUCCCACAAAUAGGCAACUGUGGAUGGUGCCCUUUGGUCUCAUCCUUUUUGCUACCCCGGUCAUUGUUUGGUUCUCUGUUAUGGCCUCUGACAUCUCUAAUUUGAAGGAUGAUGAUCAUGUCAAAAGGGUGAGUCAACUCAGUAACUCGGUUUCUGCCAAGAAAGAUGGGCAAUGGAGCAACCAUGUGAAUGAUGUAUAGAUUUUAAUAUAUAUAUUGCCUACGAUUGUUUCUAUGUAAGAAUUCCACCAAUCUCAUUCAAUUACAUACGUGGAGUUUUUAUUUAUUUAUAAGAACUAUGUGAACACCAUGUGGACUCCAAGUAAUUGAUUAAGAUUCAUACAUUAUGUAAGGAGCAUAGUUACAUAGGCUUCUUAAUUACGGGUGAUAGAUUGAUUGUGGUUGAUUUUGUUA